CGGAAGUGCCUUUCUGACCAGGACUGAUUGUUGCGUAGAGAACAUCAAUCUUUCCAGCUCAGAGGGCACUUUCCUCGUUACGACACCCGGUCAACGAGCCCGUUCAUCGGUGGAUUCAG
rnacentral:sRNA from 1 species